AGUGAACGCUGGCGGUAGGCCUAACACAUGCAAGUCGAACGGCAGCACAGGAGAGCUUGCUCUCUGGGUGGCGAGUGGCGGACGGGUGAGGAAUACAUCGGAAUCUACCUUUUCGUGGGGGAUAACGUAGGGAAACUUACGCUAAUACCGCAUACGACCUACGGGUGAAAGUGGGGGACCGCAAGGCCUCACGCGAUUAGAUGAGCCGAUGUCCGAUUAGCUAGUUGGCGGGGUAAUGGCCCACCAAGGCGACGAUCGGUAGCUGGUCUGAGAGGAUGAUCAGCCACACUGGACCUGAGACACGGUCCAGACUCCUACGGGAGGCAGCAGUGGGGAAUAUUGGACAAUGGGCGCAAGCCUGAUCCAGCCAUACCGCGUGGGUGAAGAAGGCCUUCGGGUUGUAAAGCCCUUUUGUUGGGAAAGAAAUCCUGUCGAUUAAUACUCGGUGGGGAUGACGGUACCCAAAGAAUAAGCACCGGCUAACCUCGUGCCAGCAGCCGCGGUAAGAC
rnacentral:rRNA from 1 species